rnacentral:rRNA from 1 species
GACGAACGCUGGCGGCGUGCUUAACACAUGCAAGUCGAACGGAAAGGCCCUUCGGGGUACACGAGUGGCGAACGGGUGAGUAACACGUGGGUGAUCUGCCCUGCACUUCGGGAUAAGCCUGGGAAACUGGGUCUAAUACCGGAUAGGACCACUGCCUGCAUGGGUGGUGGUGGAAAGCUUUUGCGGGGUGGGAUGGGCCCGCGGCCUAUCAGCUUGUUGGUGGGGUGAUGGUCUACCAAGGCGACGACGGGUAGCCGGCCUGAGAGGGUGACCGGCGACACUGGGACUGAGAUACGGCCCGGACUCCUACGGGAGGCAGCAGUGGGGAACAUUGCACAAUGGGCGCAAGCCUGAUGCAGCGGCGCCGCGUGAGGGAUGACGGCCUUCGGGUUGUAAACCUCUUUCAGCACCGACGAAGCGCAAGUGACGGUAGGUGCAGAAGAAGGACCGGCCAACUACGUGCCAGCCGCCGCCGUAA